GAGGGGUAUAGUUCUUCGGAGCUAGAGACCGGCGCACGGGUGCGUAACGCGUAUGCAAUCUACCUUUUACAGAGGGAUAGCCCAGAGAAAUUUGGAUUAAUACCUCAUAGUAUGUGAGAAUCGCAUGGUUUUCACAUUAAAGUCACAACGGUAAAAGAUGAGCAUGCGUCCCAUUAGCUUGUUGGUAAGGUAACGGCUUACCAAGGCAACGAUGGGUAGGGGUCCUGAGAGGGAGAUCCCCCACACUGGUACUGAGACACGGACCAGACUCCUACGGGAGGCAGCAGUGAGGAAUAUUGGACAAUGGGCGCAAGCCUGAUCCAGCCAUGCCGCGUGCAGGAUGACGGUCCUAUGGAUUGUAAACUGCUUUUGUACAGGAAGAAACACUCCCUCGUGAGGGAGCUUGACGGUACUGUAAGAAUAAGGAUCGGCUAACUCCGUGCCAGCAGCCGCGGUAAUACGGAGGAUCCAAGCGUUAUCCGGAAUCAUUGGGUUUAAAGGGUCCGUAGGCGGUUUAAUAAGUCAGUGGUGAAAGCCCAUCGCUCAACGGUGGAACGGCCAUUGAUACUGUUAAACUUGAAUUAUUAGGAAGUAACUAGAAUAUGUAGUGUAGCGGUGAAAUGCUUAGAGAUUACAUGGAAUACCAAUUGCGAAGGCAGGUUACUACUAAUGGAUUGACGCUGAUGGACGAAAGCGUGGGUAGCGAACAGGAUUAGAUACCCUGGUAGUCCACGCCGUAAACGAUGGAUACUAGCUGUUGGGAGCAAUCUCAGUGGCUAAGCGAAAGUGAUAAGUAUCCCACCUGGGGAGUACGUUCGCAAGAAUGAAACUCAAAGGAAUUGACGGGGGCCCGCACAAGCGGUGGAGCAUGUGGUUUAAUUCGAUGAUACGCGAGGAACCU
rnacentral:rRNA from 1 species